AGAAGGAGGUGGGAUAAAUGGUUCUGGCUUAGAGAAAGAGGAGUGAGUCAUCCAGUGUCCUCUCCUCAUUCCAUAGAAGGAAGCUCCUUCAUGGUGCCCAGGGACACCCCAGGAAUGGAAGGUGGAUGCUAUG